GAGGGGAGAGAAGGUUUUAAUCUGAACCAUCCAAAAGUGUAUUGAACGGCUCGAAAGUGCCGAGCGGACACCAAGUGGGAUAUAACCGCUCGGUACUGAAAAAUUUCUCCUUACAACGUAUUUGAGGAAGUGAGGAAAAAAAAUAAAAACUUAAGACUUUUGCAAAUGUACCUUGUGUUGAUGAACACGACGAAUUUGAAGACCAAAGCUAUUCACUCAGCAGUCUCCCAGUGAAACUUUUGAAUCGAUAUUAUCAAAGCUAUCAAUCGAUCAUGGGUUUGAGAUGAGAUUAGUGGAGAGCAGGAAAAGCACAAUUCAAUAUCCGCGGAAUUAGAAUGGCUCUACAGUAUCUGGGUUUGUUUUGUCCUUUCCAAUAAUUCUCGACUUCACUUCACCUCCCACAUAGGAAAUUACCUAAGAGGGAGAGCUGGCGCGUGUUUUACAGAGUGGGAUGGAGAGAGCGAAAGCCAACCGGAUGGGGAAAUCUCAGGAGUGGUUCACCGCUUGCCAAGAAAAAAGAAAACCGGAGCCAGGGGUACUGUUUCGGUUGGGGGAGGAGAGAGAGAUGUUUGCAGUGAUUGAAAGAGAGAAGAAUUUAAGAGGUUUGCGUGG